GACUGUGCAAAGGUAGCAUAAUUAUUAGUUUUUUAAUUGAAAGCUUGUAUGAAGGGUUGGACGAGAUAAAAUCUGUCUUUAUUUAAAUUACAAUAGAAUUUAACUUUUAAGUCAAAAGGCUUAAAUGUAUAUAAAAGACGAGAAGACCCUAUAGAUCUUUAUUUAAUUAAUAUUUUGAUAAUUUAAGAUUAUUUUAGUUUAAAGUUUUAAUUAAAUUUUAUUGGGGUAAUAUAAAGAUUAAAUAAAUUCUUUUUAUUUAUUACAUUGAUUUAUGAAUAUAUGAUCCAAUAUUAUUGAUUAUAAGAUUAAGUUACCUUAGGGAUAACAGCGUAAUUUUUUUGGAGAGCUCAUAUCGAUAAAAAAGUUUGCGACCUCGAUGUUGGAUUAAAAAUUAGCUUGGGUGCAGAAGCUCAAGAUUUUGGUCUGUUCGACCAUUAAAUUUUUACAUGAUCUGAGUUCAGACCGGCGUAAGCCAGGUCGGUUUCUAUCUUUAUUUAUCUAAAAUAUUUUAGUACGAAAGGACCAAAUAUUUAAUAUAAUUAUAUUUAUUUUUUGAAUAAUAUU
rnacentral:rRNA from 1 species